GCAGAGCCAAGGAAUCUGGCUGUUGGGCUUCCUCCAAGAAGGAACUGACCUGUAGUCAGGGAGACUGCAGAGAGGAGGGGAACAUGGCUGUGCUGCAGGCUUCCUUCUGGCAUGAAGGACAGCCCCAAUAGCCAAUCACAGCUGAAGGAGCUUUCUCUCUCAACUCUGGUUACAGCUAACACAGCCUGCAGUUUCAGCAUUUGGAUAUAAUGCUGGUGGCUGCAAAGCUCAGAAAGAAGCUGUAUGCCCACCAAACGUCCCAGCUGGUAUGUCACUCACGGUCGUAGCAUUUGUCUGAUGAGGCGAAUACUAACCUGAAGUCAGUUGAAUAAGUGAAGCCUGAGAAGAUCAGCAACUCUGGACUUACCUUCCCAUGAUCUCAGGAUAAGUCAUUAUGUAACUGAAAAAAGGGCUGUUAUCUCUGAAGGUUGGAAGUCAUAACAGGUGGAGAAACACUGUGACUUGUAAAUGAUGCAAGAGAGUCAGCAAGGGAAUGUGGCUGAAACACUCUGGAUUCCUUGCCUGUACUUCUUAGGAAUACAACCUCUGAAUGCUGAUUAAAUA